rnacentral:rRNA from 1 species
CGAACGCUGGCGGCAUGCCUAACACAUGCAAGUCGACCGAGACCUUCGGGUCUAGUGGCGCACGGGUGCGUAACGCGUGGGAACCUGCCCUUAGGUUCGGAAUAACUCCCCGAAAGGGGUGCUAAUACCGGAUAAUGUCUUCGGACCAAAGAUUUAUCGCCUUUGGAUGGGCCCGCGUUGGAUUAGCUAGUUGGUAGGGUAAAAGCCUACCAAGGCGACGAUCCAUAGCUGGUCUGAGAGGAUGAUCAGCCACACUGGGACUGAGACACGGCCCAGACUCCUACGGGAGGCAGCAGUGGGGAAUAUUGGACAAUGGGCGAAAGCCUGAUCCAGCAAUGCCGCGUGAGUGAUGAAGGCCUUAGGGUUGUAAAGCUCUUUUACCCGGGAGGAUAAUGACAGUACCGGGAGAAUAAGCUCCGGCUAACUCCGUG